rnacentral:lncRNA from 1 species
AGACAGCCUCAGAGCUGGUGGGGAGACAGCAUGCCACUGGAAAAAUUCGUAGACAUGGAAUUCCUGGAUCAAAUGAUGUAAAAUGGGGAUGCUAACAGCAUGUUUAGAACAGUGUCUGGCACAUAGUAACCAUUAUGAGGAGAUGGAAGAUUGAGAGCAGAGUGCAAGAAUGGGAAGAGGGCUUCGUGCCCUGUGCACGUUUGCCACCUAGUGACCAAACUGAAUGGUGUGCUUCUCACCUCAGCGUGAUAGCCUGACCUUGACUCCUGAGUUCCACGAUCGCUUCACAACUGCAAGUCACCAUCAUACAAAAUUUGAGUUUCCCUAAGUCCGCGCCUUUGAGAGCUUUGGAACGAUAUGCAAGUUCAAGUCACCAUCCUGUUUCUUGCUACCUCCUGUGAGAAGACCAACAUUUGGGUUACACUUGUUUCUACUCUUGUUCUUCUGCUUGUUAUUGUUGCCUCUGCAGCCAUUGAUCACACACGUGUUGUCAUACAAAAACUGGUUAGCCUUUUUAUUUGUCUUGUGAAUUUUAUCAUUUGGUUCUUAAGUAUUACAAAUUAAUAUUGUGUACUCUCAUUGAUAUACAACUUGCAGUCAUUGUAAAUAUGCGUGAGUUAGGGGUGAGAAUGGCAUGCAAGCAAAAGAACAAGGAGAGGGAUGAUAGAGAUGCAAGAAGAGUAAAGAGGGCAAGAAAGUUUAUGUUAAUAGCGAACACAAUGAAAGUUCUUUAAAUGCUUGAUAAUGGUGAAAGCAACACUUCCUAGGGCAUAUUUUUGGUGUUAAUGAACCUACACAUCAUACAAUAAAGAAAAUUGAGAAAGCAGUUGGGGCCAGUGAAUCGGGGGCACACAAGAAUCACUGAGAAAAUCAUACACAACUCAAAAUGCCACAAUAGGGAAAAUAUAAAGAGAUUUGCACUUGUGGCUUCUAAAACAGAGAAGGUUGAAUAGGUCUCUUUCUGUGUGUAAAAUCUGCCAGUGAGCAUCACAAAAAUGCAAAUUUAAAUUUCAAUCUGGAUGGAAAGUUAUAAAAUUCAUUGCAAGUAAUGGGUGGUUGGGUAGGUUUAAGAAAUGCCAGGUGGGUGGAUCACUUGAGGUCUGGAGUUUGCAACUAGCCUGGCCAACAUGGUGAAACCUUGUCUCUACUAAAAAUACAAAAAUUAGCCAGGAUUGGUGGCGGGUACCUGUAAUCUCAGCUACUCAGGAGGCUGAGGCAGGAGAAUCGCUUGAACCUAGGAGGCAGAGGUUGCAGUGAGCUGAGAUCGUGCCAUCGCACUCCAGCCUGGGUGACGAGAGCAAAGCUCUGUCUCAAAAAAAGAAAAGAAGAGAA